UAUGGAGGGUGCAAGCGUUAAUCGGAAUCACUGGGCGUAAAGCGCUCGUAGGUGGCUUUGUAAGUCAGGUGUGAAAGCCCACGGCUCAACCGUGGAAUUGCACUUGAUACUGCAUUGCUUGAGUUCGGGAGAGGGUAGUGGAAUUCCAGGUGUAGGAGUGAAAUCCGUAGAGAUCUGGAGGAACACCAGUGGCGAAGGCGACUACCUGGACCGAUACUGACACUGAGGAGCGAAAGCGUGGGGAGCAAAACAGG
rnacentral:rRNA from 1 species